rnacentral:lncRNA from 1 species
CGGCGGGUAGGAAUCCCGCCGGCGAGCCGAACAGUUCCCCGAGCGCAGCCCGCGGACCACCACCCGGCCGCACGGGCCGCUUUUGUCCCCCGCCCGCCGCUUCUGUCCGAGAGGCCGCCCGCGAGGCGCAUCCUGACCGCGAGCGUCGGGUCCCAGAGCCGGGCGCGGCUGGGGCCCGAGGCUAGCAUCUCUCGGGAGCCGCAAGGCGAGAGCUGCAAAGUUUAAUUAGACACUUCAGAAUUUUGAUCACCUAAUGUUGAUUUCAGAUGUAAAAGUCAAGAGAAGACUCUAAAAAUAGCAAAGAUGCUUUUGAGCCAGAAUGCCUUCAUCUUCAGAUCACUUAAUUUGGUUCUCAUGGUGUAUAUCAGCCUCGUGUUUGGUAUUUCAUAUGAUUCGCCUGAUUACACAGAUGAAUCUUGCACUUUCAAGAUAUCAUUGCGAAAUUUCCGGUCCAUCUUAUCAUGGGAAUUAAAAAACCACUCCAUUGUACCAACUCACUAUACAUUGCUGUAUACAAUCAUGAGUAAACCAGAAGAUUUGAAGGUGGUUAAGAACUGUGCAAAUACCACAAGAUCAUUUUGUGACCUCACAGAUGAGUGGAGAAGCACACACGAGGCCUAUGUCACCGUCCUAGAAGGAUUCAGCGGGAACACAACGUUGUUCAGUUGCUCACACAAUUUCUGGCUGGCCAUAGACAUGUCUUUUGAACCACCAGAGUUUGAGAUUGUUGGUUUUACCAACCACAUUAAUGUGAUGGUGAAAUUUCCAUCUAUUGUUGAGGAAGAAUUACAGUUUGAUUUAUCUCUCGUCAUUGAAGAACAGUCAGAGGGAAUUGUUAA